AAAGGAUAGAUUUUUAUGGGGGGUUGGGGGGGGGGUGAAAAAACAUUGUGUUAAUGAUAGAAACAUGUAUUGACAUUUUGGUGUUGCGUAGAUUGUUGAAUUCAAUGACUUAAGUGUAUGGUAGAUUUAAAAGGAAUGACUUGUAUAUUUAAUUUUUGUACCUUCCCAGUCAAAGACACUUGAGGUUGCUUCCAGCCAUGCCAAUGUUAAAAUUUUUUUUACAUUUGACCCCCUCUAAUGUAGUUCAACAUUGUUACUGUACAACCUUCCCUCCUGCACUGAGCCAAGUGAAACGACCAUAUCUGUAAAUGAAUUUCCGUCGAUGCAGAUUUACGAAAUGUUCUUCGUUUGGUUGUCUUUUAAACUUCUUCUUCUUUAAUUUGUGCACUUAAACUUUUUUACCCUCUUUACUGUACCGCCCUCUUUUUCACUUUCAAAUGUAGUUUCUUACUCCUCUUGAACAAUGUAUUUUUUUUUUUUUCCUGAAUGUUUCUGCACUUGCCAUAUAUUGUGACAACAACAAUAAUGUAACUGAUGAAUACAAUAACUCACAGUAUUGCUUUAAUGGAAAAUCCAAAGAUUAAGUACCAUUGGUGCAUACAAAGGAUGGGGGAAAACUAUAUUUGAGAAAAAAAAAAUAUUACUGUUUUUAAGGAAUGGAAACCUUUUUAGAUGAUGGAGCCAGCUAGGAGAAAACUGUUUAAACUUAGAACAUUUGUGACCUCGUAUAUAAAACAAACCAUAAAAACCAAAAACCCCGAAGCCUCUUUGCUGAGGGUAUGGGACAGAACCGUAGUUCAGCCAUUGCAGUUUGUAAAAUAGAUGGAGAUAGUUCACUUUUAUAUCUCCGUGACUGGCCUGUCAUUUUUGUCUGUUUGUUUAUGCUUUUGUUUGUUUGUUUGUCUGUUCUACUAAAUGUACUGGGGUUUAUUUUUGACGAAACACAGUGUGCUGCUAAUGUAGUUUUGUAUUGACACUAAGAUGCAUGCUUGAUUUCGCUUUUUUGCUGAAGCUUUAAUGACUACAGACGGUAGCCAGAGCCCCCUGUCCCUUCAUCUCGCUGCAGCUCUGCCCACACACUCCAAGACUACUGUGAAGACUGUGAAUAAAAAUCCAUGAACCAAUAUUCUUUUCUGCUCUUCUUCAAAACAACCAAUGUUAAAACUGAACCAACAAAUGUUUAAAAAAACAAACAAAAAAAAAAACAAACCAAUGAUGUUAUAUUUAUACAAAGUUUGCAUUCCAAAUAUCACGUUGUUUCAAUUGAUUUUUUUUAUUUUUAUUUUUCCCCCCUCCCGAGUAGGGGAGAUCGUUCUGUGUACUCUCAUAUCCGAGUCUGGACUUGAUGUGAAAGACUCGUGUUUACUGUAUGUGCUCCUGGGAAUGUUGUUACUGUUGCAAUUGCCAAAUAAUGUACAUGUUCAUUAUGCACUUGUGUUUUAUCAUGCGAGUCGUUGGGCUAGUUGUCUCUCCCGUCCUCUCUUAUACCAAGCAUUCAAGUUCAAUAAAGUCUGUUUCAUUUUACUAGACCAUCA
ensembl:lncRNA